AUUGAACGCUGGCGGCAUGCUUUACACAUGCAAGUCGAACGGUAACAGGCCGCAAGGUGCUGACGAGUGGCGAACGGGUGAGUAAUGCAUCGGAACGUGCCCAGUCGUGGGGGAUAACUACUCGAAAGAGUAGCUAAUACCGCAUACGAUCUAUGGAUGAAAGCGGGGGACCGUAAGGCCUCGCGCGAUUGGAGCGGCCGAUGUCAGAUUAGGUAGUUGGUGGGGUAAAGGCUCACCAAGCCAACGAUCUGUAGCUGGUCUGAGAGGACAACCAGCCACACUGGGACUGAGACACGGCCCAGACUCCUACGGGAGGCAGCAGUGGUGAAUUUUGGACAAUGGGCGCAAGCCUGAUCCAGCAAUGCCGCGUGCAGGAAGAAGGCCUUCGGGUUGUAAACUGCUUUUGUACGGAACGAAACGGCUCUGGUUAAUACCCGGGGCUAAUGACGGUACCGUAAGAAUAAGCACCGGCUAACUACGUG
rnacentral:rRNA from 1 species